rnacentral:misc_RNA from 1 species
GAAACGCGAUAAGUAAUGUGAAUUGCAGAAUUCAGUGAAUCAUCGAAUCUUUGAACGCACAUGGCGCCUUCCAGUAUCCUGGGAGGCAUGCCUGUCCGAGCGUCGUUUCAACCCUCGAGCCCCCGUGGCCCGGCGUUGGGGAUCUGCCCAGGCAGGCCCCGAAAACCAGUGGCGGGCUCGCUGUCACACCGGGCGUAGUAGAUUUUAUCUCGCUCAGGGAGUGCUGCGUGUCCCUGCCGUAAAAAGCGUCUUACGACACCCAAUGGUUGACCUCGGAUCAGGUAGGACUACCCGCUGAACUUAA